AGACCAGACUCCUACGGGAGGCAGCAGUGGGGAAUAUUGGGCAAUGGAGGAAACUCCUACCCAGCAAUGCCGCGUGAAUGAAGAAGGUCUUCGGAUUGUAAAGUUCUUUAAUUGGGGACGAAAAAAAUGACGGUACCCAAGGAAUAAGCCCCGGCUAACUACGUGCCAGCAGCCGCGGUAAUACGUAGGGGGCAAGCGUUGUUCGGAAUGACUGGGCGUAAAGGGUGCGUAGGCGGGAUUGCAAGUUGGAUGUGAAAACUGCGGGCUCAACCCGGAGCGUGCAUUCAAAACUGCGAUUCUUGAGUGAAGUAGAGGCAAGCGGAAUUCCUAGUGUAGCGGUGAAAUGCGUAGAUAUUAGGAGGAACACCAGUGGCGAAGGCGGCUUGCUGGGCUUUUACUGACGCUGAGGCUCGAAAGUGUGGGGAGCAAACAGGAUUAGAUACCCGCGUA
rnacentral:rRNA from 1 species